UUUGGGUCUGCCUAUGCGGCGAA
rnacentral:siRNA from 1 species